rnacentral:rRNA from 1 species
AGAUACCCGGGUAGUCCCAGCCGUAAACGAUGCUCGCUAGGUGUCUGGGACGGUGCGACCGUUUCAGGUGCCGCAGGGAAGCCGUGAAGCGAGCCACCUGGGAAGUACGGCCGCAAGGCUGAAACUUAAAGGAAUUGGCGGGGGAGCACUACAACGGGUGGAGCCUGCGGUUUAAUUGGACUCAACGCCGGAAAACUCACCUGGGGCGACAGCAAUAUGUAGGUCAGGCUGAAGGUCUUACCUGAAUCGCUGAGAGGAGGUGCAUGGCCGUCGUCAGUUCGUACUGUGAAGCAUCCUGUUAAGUCAGGCAACGAGCGAGACCCGUGCCCACUGUUGCCAGCAUAUCCUUCGGGAUGAUGGGUACUCUGUGGGGACCGCUGGUGCUAAACCAGAGGAAGGUGCGGGCUACGGU